GGGGGAGCUCUUGGACGCGGUGCUCCAUUCUGGAUGAGGCUGCCAGAGGGAGACAUCGUGUCCGGCCAUCCUCAUUAAUAUCUUUCCCCUUUUCAGGGUUGUUACACAGUCAAAGGAGCUCACCAUGCAGGUGAAACGAGCCAUCCUUAAGCUGCGAACAGAACAGCAAAAAGAACAAAAAACAUCUGCGAAAUUGCUACAAUAUUAGGAAUGGCUAAAUUUGCAGUUUGGUACAUCCGUGAGGAAGAAAGCAAGCACCGGUGAACUCGGCAGCGCAAAAAGACUUGGAAGUCAGCAGUGAUGGAUGAUUGCUGAGUCAUUUCCAUGGCGAAGAGAAACCGCUUGCCGACAGCCAACCAAGUUGAAACACUCCAGAAGGUAGGUUUGUCAUUGUCCAUGUCUACCAUAAAGAUAAGAGUACAUGAGAGUAAAUACAGAGGGUUGCCUGCACGGUGCAAGCAACUCAUAAGCCUCACGAAUAGAAAGGCCACAUUGGACCUUGCUAAAAAAAACAUCUAAAAAUGCCAGCACUGUUCUGAAUGAACAUUCUUUGGACAGACCUCUCUCGGAAUGAUACCGGAAAGCGUGCUACAGCUCAUGGUCCAAAGCAUACUAUGUCUUGUGUAAAAUGGUGGAGGCAGUGUGAUGCUUGGUCAUGCAUAGCUCCCGGUGGCACUGGGUCACUGGUGUUUAUCGAUGAUGUGACACAGGACAUAACCAUCCGGAUUAAUUUGGAGGUGUUCAGAGACAUGCUGUCCGAAAUCCAGCCAAAAUGAUUGGGCAGUGUUUCAUACUACAAAUAGAAAAUGGCCCAAAGCAUACUUGCCAAAGCUACACAGGACUUUAUGAAAAUAAAGAAGUGGAAUAUUCUUGACUGACCAAGUCAGUCGCUUGAUCUCAACCCGAUUGAGCAUACAUUUCACCUAUUAAAGACUAAACGUCUGAAAGAAAGGCCCACAAACAAACAAACAAGUGCAAACCGCUGCUGUACAGGCCUGGCAAAGCAUUAAAGAGGAGGAAAGUCAGCGUCUGGGUGAUGUCCAUGAUUUCAGGACUUCAGGCAGUCAUUUCCAGCAGGUUUUCAACCAAGUCUUUCAAGUCUUUCAACCAAGCUAUUGUGGUUCACCUUUUGCAGAUUCACAGAAUUUUUUUACUGCCUCUUUUUCUUUUUUUAAUUACAGCGUCUGAACACUAUUACAGGCCGAGCCCAGCCCUUUAAGAAGAAUUGCAUUGUGGGAAGUUGAGUGUCUUUCUCUUCCCUCUCUUGGCCAUCUGCACCACCCAUUGUUUUCUGUGUCCUGAUCGGCUGUAGAACAUUGUUAACCAAUCUCCUUAGUGCCGCCCUGCCAUGUCUCCUGUGUCAUCGCUAGCUUGCUUGCUUGCUAGCUUGUAAGUGAAUCUUCGUUUCGAGGGAGGAGGACUGCAGCAAUAUGUUUUAACAAGGAUGCAAAAACACUACAGUACAGAGGAACGGCGCCAGGACAAAGCGGCACGGUCAAAGGAGUGAAAUACAUGUAAGUGAUUUAAUAAUUUUUUGUGUCCGACCUGUAGGUUGAUCAUUAAAAUUCAAACGAAGGUUUGGACUUUUUUGAGAGUGUUUAAACAAGAGAGAAAUGUGAGAAAAUGUUAUUGCCUGUCUGCGAAAAGUGUAUAAAGUGUAUAAAGGGCUUUUACAGCCUUACAGCCACUGGCCACUCGGCGUCAGAGCGACCACACGAGCCUCCACCAGUGGUGAUUGUCUUGUCCCAAGAUGUCAGUCUACUCUCUCCGUAAAGGGGACACAGCUUUGGAACUCUCUACCAACUUAUUUAAAAUUAGAGACCAACAGUGAUGGUUUUACCAAAAGACUUAAACAAUGGCUAAAAUCAAAACACACAUGAAUAGUUUUUAACUGGUUGAUUGCUUGACCAUGUUGCCUUUGCUUUGCUUUUUAAUUUUCAAAUGUAUUUCAUUUGAAAAAAUGCCUUUUUUAUUGUUGGAAUGUUGUUGUAGAGUGUAUUUUAUUUUUUUUAUUUCAUUAUCAUUUUUUCUCUCCUUUUAGUUUUGUUACUUUUAAUGUUUUAUCAUUUCAAAAGGACAAGUAAUAGCUUUGGUGUUAGCUUUAGUGUUAGCAAGUAUUAGCACAUGUGCUAAAACACUCAAACAAUACAUCUGGUCUGUCCAAUGUAAUUGUGAUGUCCACAUCGAAUAAACAAUAAAUAAAUUUUAAAAA